rnacentral:rRNA from 1 species
CUCGUAGGCGGCCAACUAAGUCAGACGUGAAAUCCCUCGGCUUAACCGGGGAACUGCGUCUGAUACUGGAUGGCUUGAGGUUGGGAGAGGGAUGCGGAAUUCCAGGUGUAGCGGUGAAAUGCGUAGAUAUCUGGAGGAACACCGGUGGCGAAGGCGGCAUCCUGGACCAAUUCUGACGCUGAGUGAGCGAAAGCCAGGGGAGCAAACA